GUUCUAAAAAGUUUGAUUUUUGCACUUAAUAACCCCAUCCAACCAAUUUUUGGAGGUUGGGAAUUUGAUAUUUCAAAUGUACACAUCAUGAUCUUUCAUUUAUUAUUUUCUGUUAACGAAUUCAAUUUUUUUAUAAAUAGUUUUUUAUAAUUUUCUUGCAUAAUUUCUGUUAUCUGUAUAUUCAUUUUCUUUUUUUCUUUUAUAAAGUAAAAAUUUUCAAUAUCACAUAUUUUUAAAUUAUUUUCUAUAUUGGUACAUCCCGCAAAUGAUUUGCAUAAUAUAUUAUUACCUGAAACCUGUGAUAACCCAGUUCACACGCAAAGAAAUACUGCAACAUUAUAGUAAAAUCUGCUGAAACUAUAUUCUUGUGUGUCAAUGGAUUCUAAUGAAUUGAUAACUGUUACUUCUAAGUUAUCAAUGUUCAUAGUUGUGUACAUCAACGUUACAUCAUAGGCAAUAAGGAUGCAUUCUUUUGUGACCUCGUGUGACUCUAUUUUAUUAAUGAAGUCUUUUGUAUCUUGAAUGUAAAAGUUAUGCCUCUUCAAUAAUGGUUUUAAGAUUAGACCCAGUAAUCUUUCAAUGCGUCUUGUGGGAGAGUUACACUUAUUGAUGAUUGGUCGGUAAGGAAUGUUUAUGUUUCCAACUAUUUGACCAGUUCGGAAUGCCUCAUUAAUUAUUUCUAGAUAAAUUUUAUAAACUUUUGGAAGAAGGUACAUGUGUCCGUGUUUUGAUUCAUUAUUAUUCCUCAAGAAAUUAUAAGUUUGUGAAUCUAUUUCUUUUUUCCUAUAUAGAUUUUCAACAAUAUCUU
rnacentral:lncRNA from 1 species